rnacentral:rRNA from 1 species
UACGUAGGGGGCGAGCGUUGUCCGGAAUCAUUGGGCGUAAAGCGCGUGUAGGCGGCCCGGUAAGUCCGCUGUGAAAGUCCAGGGCUCAACCCUGGGAUGCCGGUGGAUACUGUCGGGCUCGAGUCCGGAAGAGGCGAGUGGAAUUCCUGGUGUAGCGGUGAAAUGCGCAGAUAUCAGGAGGAACACCAAUGGCGAAGGCAGCUCGCUGGGACGUGACUGACGCUGAGACGCGAAAGCGUGGGGGGCGAACAGG